rnacentral:lncRNA from 1 species
AGACCUUUAAAAAGGGGACUAAGAGUCCAUGCCCAGGGAAUGGUUUCUCUCUCUUCCGCUGGACUUUAACAAGCAAGCACAUGACGGGCUUCAUCAGUCCUGGACGAGAAAGCUGAGAUGAAAAUAACUUGAGUCUUGGAUGAAAUCAGUGACCCUAUGAUAUCAUCACAUCUAGAGCUGACUCUAACUGGACUUCCAGCUAUUUCCAGGACAUAUUCAAGCAGAGUUUGGAUAACCACCUGCCAAAGAUCUGUAUUGGAUAUUCAAGAAACAAGACCUGCAAACCCCUCUUUGCUGAUUCAAGUAUGCCUGGCGAAGAUCCACAAAGUAGAAGGCAGAAGGUCAGCUCAGUACCCAAGGCACUUCCUGUGGAAAGUUACUCACUUAAUCCCAAAGGCAAGACAAGGGCAACCCUUUAAUAUUCAUUUGGAAAAAUCAAAAAGGGAGAGUAGCAUAGAUAGGGUUGCUGAUCCAGUCAAGUCAAUACCAGGCUUCUCACACCUCUCCCAGUGCCUAUCCCAGAAGAUUGAGAACAAUGCUAGGAAGGUAAUUAAAUUGGGGUAGCUAACUCUUCAAGUCUAAUGCAAAUAUUUCCUUCAUUUAGCUGUUCACUUCAUUUGGUUUAAAUAAAGAUAAACCACAUCAAGAUACAAACAUCUAAACUCUUUUCUAAAAGACUCAAAGGAAGAAUACAUUUAUAGAAAAGUUUGGAAAGAUAACCAAAAACGAAGCCAUUCAACCUUUCAAUUAUAGCAGCCCAUAGCAUUGUUACGACUUUUGCGACUGACUACAUAACAAAAGGGGCUGUGUGGUGGAAGACCCUGGAUUUAAACCUGUUUGAUUAUAUCUCUGGAUGUAAAGUCUUUGACUGGAGGGAUAAUCUUUCUCUCCUCAGUAUUUUCCAGGGUCUUAAUAAAUAUCUGCUGAAUGAACAAA